UGCGGUAUCUCCUGUGGUAUUUGGUGUAUGCGUAUGUAUGCGUAUGUACACACACAUGCACACACA
rnacentral:miRNA from 1 species